rnacentral:rRNA from 1 species
UACGUAGGGUGCAAGCGUUGUCCGGAAUUAUUGGGCGUAAAGAGCUCGUAGGCGGUUUGUCGCGUCUGCUGUGAAAACUCAGGGCUUAACUCUGAGCUUGCAGUGGGUACGGGCAGACUAGAGUGCGGUAGGGGAGACUGGAAUUCCUGGUGUAGCGGUGAAAUGCGCAGAUAUCAGGAGGAACACCGAUGGCGAAGGCAGGUCUCUGGGCAUUAACUGACGCUGAGGAGCGAAAGCAUGGGGAGCGAACAGG